AUGAAGACAUUUGCUGGAUUUUCGUUCCUGUUUUUGUGGCUGCAGCUGGACUGUAUGAGUAGAGGAGAGGAUGUGGAGCAGAGUCUUUUCCUGAGUGUCCGAGAGGGAGACAGCUCCGUUAUAAACUGCACUUACACAGACAGCUCCUCCACCUACUUAUACUGGUAUAAGCAAGAACCUGGAGCAGGUCUCCAGUUGCUGACGUAUAUUUUUUCAAAUAUGGACAUGAAACAAGACCAAAGACUCACUGUUCUAUUGAAUAAAAAGGAUAAACAUCUGUCUCUGCGCAUUGCAGACACCCAGACUGGGGACUCAGCUAUCUACUUCUGUGCAGAGAGUA